ensembl:lncRNA
GCGGACAGAGAAUGAACUCACCAUGAGGAACCUGAGAAACCUUAACCAGGAGCUCCAGGCCCAGGUCAAAGAGCUGAAGCACAAGGUGUAUCUGGCCCAGCAGAGAGCGACGUUGUGCACCCGAGUGGCGGAAGAGGCGACCGAUGCGCGGGCUGAGGCAGAGAAGCACAGGGCCCUUGCAGAGGCCCGGGCCCACAGUCUAAGGCAGGACAGAGAACUGACAGAGGCAGACAGGAGCCAACUGAGCGAGGACUUGCUGAAGCUAAAAAAACAGCACCAAGACGCUCAGCUUCUUCUGGCACAAACGGAGAAGAACUAUUUUGAGACAAGGCUGAAGCUAGACAGGAUAUCAGGAGAGAAACAGGCUCUGCUGGAAGAGAACAGAUGUCUGGAGGGGGACAGGGAUGCUCUGAGGCACAAACUCAGACAAGUGAUGGAUGAGAACACAAAAGUCAACGAAAAGGAGGUGAGUUCGAGGCGCAGGGCGUUGGUAGCGGAGGAGCAGAGUGAGAAGGACAGCCAGGCGAAGCAGGAAGCUAACCAGGAGAGGCGGCUGGUGGAGAAGGAGAGGCAGGAGCGCACAACCGAGUGUCUCAACUGGAGGGAGAAACAUCAGGCUCUGGCAGACAUCUUCAAAGCCCAGGAGGACCUCAAGUCUCAGAGGCAGAGCAAAGCAUGCCAAGCUACUAUCAAAAGCUUUUUCCUCUGCAUGACAGAAAAUGACCAGAGGGUGAAGAUUCUGAAGAAUCAAGAUGGCACUCCCAGGAACUUCACAGAAGGGGAUCCAAUCUUCAUCUCCACACCAGAGCAUGGGGCUGAGGAUGCUGACAGGAGCUCAUCCAGGAGCAUGUUCAGAGUAUCUGCCCCGCGAGUGGGAAAGGACCUGGGCCAAUCUCACUUUGGUGAUCUGUCUCCCGGCCUGGGAGGGGAGCACGAGGCCGGGCAUCCACGGAGAAGCAGGAAAACAGUGGAAUAUUUCUGGAUCCCAACAGAUGAGGAAUGACGACAUUACGCACAUUGUUCACUGACGAGUUACAACCCAUUUCGGAAUAGCCGG